GAUGAACGCUGGCGGCGUGCCUAAUACAUGCAAGUCGAGCGAACGGACGAGAAGCUUGCUUCUCUGAUGUUAGCGGCGGACGGGUGAGUAACACGUGGAUAACCUACCUAUAAGACUGGGAUAACUUCGGGAAACCGGAGCUAAUACCGGAUAAUAUUAUGAACCGCAUGGUUCAAAAGUGAAAGACGGUCUUGCUGUCACUUAUAGAUGGAUCCGCGCUGCAUUAGCCAGUUGGUAAGGUAACGGCUUACCAAGGCAACGAUGCAUAGCCGACCUGAGAGGGUGAUCGGCCACACUGGAACUGAGACACGGUCCAGACUCCUACGGGAGGCAGCAGUAGGGAAUCUUCCGCAAUGGGCGAAAGCCUGACGGAGCAACGCCGCGUGAGUGAUGAAGGUCUUCGGAUCGUAAAACUCUGUUAUUAGGGAAGAACAUAUGUGUAAGUAACUGUGCACAUCUUGACGGUACCUAAUCAGAAAGCCACGGCUAACUACGUG
rnacentral:rRNA from 1 species